rnacentral:tRNA from 1 species
GGGGCCAUAGCUCAGCUGGGAGAGCGCCUGCUUUGCACGCAGGAGGUCAGGAGUUCGAUCCUCCUUGGCUCCACCU